GACGAACGCUGGCGGCGUGCUUAACACAUGCAAGUCGAACGCUGAAGCUCAGCUUUUGUUGGGUGGAUGAGUGGCGAACGGGUGAGUAACACGUGAGUAACCUGCCUCCUUCUUUGGGAUAACGCCCGGAAACGGGUGCUAAUACUGGAUAUUCACUGGUCUUCGCAUGGGGGUUGGUGGAAAGGGUUUUUCUGGUGGGGGAUGGGCUCGCGGCCUAUCAGCUUGUUGGUGGGGUGAUGGCCUACCAAGGCUUUGACGGGUAGCCGGCCUGAGAGGGUGACCGGUCACAUUGGGACUGAGAUACGGCCCAGACUCCUACGGGAGGCAGCAGUGGGGAAUAUUGCACAAUGGGCGCAAGCCUGAUGCAGCGACGCCGCGUGAGGGAUGGAGGCCUUCGGGUCGUGAACCUCUUUCGCUAAUGGUCAAGCCGCAACAAUGGUUGUGGUGAGGGUAGUGGGUAAAGAAGCGCCGGCUAACUACGUG
rnacentral:rRNA from 1 species